rnacentral:rRNA from 2 species
UACGUAGGGUGCGAGCGUUAAUCGGAAUUACUGGGCGUAAAGCGUGCGCAGGCGGUUCGUUGUGUCUGAUGUGAAAGCCCCGGGCUUAACCUGGGAAUGGCAUUGGAAACUGGCGAGCUGGAGUGUGGCAGAGGGGGGUGGAAUUCCGCGUGUAGCAGUGAAAUGCGUAGAGAUGCGGAGGAACACCGAUGGCGAAGGCAGCCCCCUGGGCCAACACUGACGCUCAGGCACGAAAGCGUGGGGAGCAAACAGG